rnacentral:rRNA from 1 species
GGGCCCGCACAAGCGGUGGAGUAUGUGGUUUAAUUCGACGCAACGCGAAGAACCUUACCAGGGCUUGACAUUGAGUGAAAUGUUAAGAGAUUAGCACCUCUCCUUCGGGAGACACGAAAACAGGUGGUGCAUGGCUGUCGUCAGCUCGUGUCGUGAGAUGUUGGGUUAAGUCCCGCAACGAGCGCAACCCUUAUCCUUUGUUGCCAGCGAGUAAUGUCGGGAACUCAAAGGAGACUGCCGUCGACAAGACGGAGGAAGGCGGGGAUGACGUCAAGUCAUCAUGCCCCUUAUGUCCUGGGCUACACACGUACUACAAUGGGCUUUAAUAGAGGGAAGCAAAGUCGCGAGGCCAAGCAAAUCCCAAAAACAAGCUCUCAGUUCGGAUCGCAGGCUGCAACUCGCCUGCGUGAAGUCGGAAUCGCUAGUAAUCGCAGGUCAGCAUACUGCGGUGAAUACGUUCCCGGGCCUUGUACACACCGCCCGUCACACCACGAGAGUUGGAAACACCCGAAGCCGGUGAGGUAACCGCAAGGAGCCAGCCGUCGAAGGUGGGGCCGAUGAUUGGGGUGAAGUCGUAACAAGGUAGCCGUAUCGGAAGGUGCGGCU